rnacentral:lncRNA from 1 species
AUCUUAAUUCUAGAUAAGGAUAUUAAGUUUUUCAUCAAAACUUUAACUGCUCUUGACUCAAUCAAUUUAUCUCAAGAUCAUAAACAAACUCUAAUCUGCUCUUAGUAAAUGAACAAUCUCAUAAUCUUUUUAUCAUAAGAGGAGUAUAAGCUUCAAAUUUAGAAGAAAAAAAAUCUGCCCACAAAUAUUCCAACUCUAAGAUAAAAAAUUGAUGGUCCACUAAUUAAAGACUUAGGAUGCUAGAAAAAUUUUCUUAACAUGG